GAUGAACGCUGGCGGCGUGCCUAACACAUGCGAGUCGAGCGAUUCUCUUCGGAGAAGAGCGGCGGACGGGUGAGUAACGCGUGGGUAACCUGCCCUGUACACACGGAUAACAUACCGAAAGGUAUGCUAAUACGAGAUAAUAUACUUUUAUCGCAUGGUAGAAGUAUCAAAGCUUUUGCGGUACAGGAUGGACCCGCGUCUGAUUAGCUAGUUGGUAAGGUAACGGCUUACCAAGGCGACGAUCAGUAGCCGACCUGAGAGGGUGGUCGGCCACAUUGGAACUGAGACACGGUCCAAACUCCUACGGGAGGCAGCAGUGGGGAAUAUUGCACAAUGGGCGAAAGCCUGAUGCAGCAACGCCGCGUGAGCGAUGAAGGCCUUCGGGUCGUAAAGCUCUGUCCUCAAGGAAGAUAAUGACGGUACUUGAGGAGGAAGCCCCGGCUAACUACGUGCCAGCCGCCGCGGUAACAC
rnacentral:rRNA from 1 species